CGAAGCAGCCUCCACGUGCCAAGAGACCCCACACUCGGCCACUCCCCACGACUUCUUCCAUCUGUAGCCGACCCAGCCGCCGCACUCCUCGCCGUGAACACCGCCGCUUCCCCAUCCCCGCAUCCACACAGCCCCGCCAGGGCUGCUGCUCCAUUCCCCAUCACCACGCCGCCGCACCCGCUUCCUCCAUCCACGCCGAUUGAGACAGAGAGAGGGGGGACAGGGUCGUGGGGCGCCGCCGCACCCGCUUCCUCCAUCCACGCCGAUUGAGACAGAGAGGGGGGGGACAGGGUCGUGGGGCAUCCUUGCCUGGAUCUGGGUGCUACUGUGCGCAUCCUUGCCCGAUCUGGACGCCUCCGCGCGCGUCCGUGCCCGAUCUGGACGCCUCCGCGCGCGUACAUGCCGCAUCUGGCCGCCACGAUUGAGGAUUGGUGGAGGAGCACGGGAAACGGCUUGGUUGUGGAGCAGGGGAAGGGAGCACGGGGCGGCGCCGUUGUGGCUGGAGCAGGGCUUCACUUCGAGGGUGGCGGACACGGCUGCAUCGUGUAGGUGGUGGAGAAGGACGACCGUGCGCCCCGGCGUCCUUUGUGUGGUGGCAGUCAUGCGCAGUGCUACGUCGAGACUGGAUGAAGCACGGGCGACCGUUGUGUCUAGGAGAUAUGGAAAUUGCAGCACCGUGCAGCUACAGUCCUGCAGCAGGUUGACGGGCGAAUGGUCAUAGCGGGAAGACAACGGGCAUGUCGACUGCUGCGAGUAUUCCAUUCUCGUAGACAACUACAUUUGCAUGAUGAGCAAGAGGUUGGCAACGUUGCUACAAGGCUGGACAAGUCACCUAGUGAAAUCAUUUGCUUCACCUGUUCCGAAGACCAUACAAGUUUUUUUUUUACUUUAUAUUGUAUUGACCUGAAAGGCUACAAAGUACAUCUGAUAAAUUAGGAUGAACUUUUCAUAUGUACUCCCUCCGUUCCUAAAUACUUGUCUUUCUAGGCAUUUCAACAAGUGACUACAUAUGAAGUAAAAUAAGUGAAUCUAUACUCUAAAAUAUGUCUACAUACAUCCGUAUGUGAUAGUCAUUUGAAAUGUCUAGAAAGACAAAUAUUUAGGAACGGAGGGAGUAGCUAGUAUGUGGCACAUAUCUUACUUGCAGAAAUGAUUUAUUACUAGGUUUGUAAUAUACAAAUGUGAAGCACAUAUGUUGAAUGUUCUAUUUUUGGGUAUGAAUGGAUUGCAAUGCUGAGUUGAGAUA